rnacentral:rRNA from 1 species
UACAGAGGUCCCAAGCGUUGUUCGGAUUCACUGGGCGUAAAGGGUGCGUAGGUGGUGAGGUAAGUCGGAUGUGAAAUCUCCGAGCUCAACUCGGAAAUGGCAUUGGAAACUACCUUGCUCGAGGGUUGGAGGGGGGACUGGAAUGCUUGGUGUAGCAGUGAAAUGCGUAGAUAUCAAGCGGAACACCAGUGGCGAAGGCGAGUCCCUGGACACUCCUGACACUGAGGCACGAAAGCUAGGGGAGCAAAACAGG